GUGUUAAUUCGAAGCAACGCGAAGAACCUUACCAGGUCUUGACAUCCCGUGACAACCAAGAGACGUUGGGCGGUUCCCCGUUCGGGGGGACAGGGUGACAGGUGGUGCAUGGUUGUCGUCAGCUCGUGUCGUGAGAUGUUGGGUUAAGUCCCGCAACGAGCGCAACCCUCGCCUCUAGUUGCCAGCAUUCGGUUGGGCACUCUAGAGGGACUGCCGGCGACAAGUCGGAGGAAGGUGGGGAUGACGUCAAAUCAUCAUGCCCCUUAUGACCUGGGCUACACACGUGCUACAAUGGGCGGUACAAAGGGCUGCGAACCCGCGAGGGGGAGCGAAUCCCAAAAAGCCGCUCUCAGUUCGGAUUGCAGGCUGCAACUCGCCUGCAUGAAGCCGGAAUCGCUAGUAAUCGCGGAUCAGCAUGCCGCGGUGAAUACGUUCCCGGGCCUU
rnacentral:rRNA from 1 species